rnacentral:misc_RNA from 1 species
AAAAAAAUUGAAAUGUUAUAAAAUGAAAACCAAAUUGAACCAAAAGAUAGACAAACGAAUUGGUUAGGUUCGGUUUGUCAAUUUGAACAUAGUGGCCAGGCCAAACAAAUUAUAUCGUUCUUCCCAGUCCCCUGUCCUGUAUGGCUCUACCCAGCCAGAUGCACAACCCUAGCAACGCCCAUAAAAAACUCAACAAAAUUUCAACAAAACCCAACAAACGUUCAACCAAACAAACCGUAAAACAAAUUAUAGGAGAACAGGAGAAUUGAAACUAAAGAAAAAAUCCCAACAAAUCAGGGAAUGGAAACAAAUGUUCAAAUAAAACCAAAAAUAGAUGAGUUGCAAAUUACCUAUAAAUAACAAAUCACAAAUCCUAAGAAUAUUUCAACAAACUUUAAACAUAUUCGAUGAGCACAACGGCAUUAGGGAGAUGUGGAAACAUCAAAGUUCAACAAAUUUAAAUAUCCUUCCGACGAUUAGGAGAUUUGGAAACAUCGGAUUUUACCUCUUCGUUGAUUGGAAACAUCGAUGAUUGGAGACUAGAGAGAAGAACUCAAUGCAAGGAGCCAACAAUGAAGAAGAAUUUGGUGCAAGGAACCAACGAUGGCGAGAUUUGGUGCAUUUGGAAACAUCAAGUUAAAGAAAGAGUUGAAGAACUCUGUGAGCACAAGAAAGAGGAGGCAUAGUGGUGAAGAAGUAGCAGCAUUAGGGAAG